rnacentral:rRNA from 1 species
UACGGGGGGGGCAAGCGUUGUUCGGAAUUACUGGGCGUAAAGGGCGCGUAGGCGGCCUGCUAAGUCGGAUGUGAAAUCCCUCGGCUCAACCGAGGAACUGCAUCCGAUACUGGCGGGCUUGAAUCCGGGAGAGGGAUGUGGGAUUCCAGGUGUAGCGGUGAAAUGCGUAGAUAUCUGGAGGAACACCGGUGGCGAAGGCGGCAUCCUGGACCGGUAUUGACGCUGAGGCGCGAAAGCUAGGGGAGCAAACGGG